rnacentral:rRNA from 1 species
UCUUUAUAAUAAAUUUAUUUUAAUAAAUUAUUUUAUUUAAAUUAAUAGUUUUAAUAUUAAAUUAUUUUAUUGGGGUGAUACAAAAAUUUAAUUAACUUUUUUAUUAAAAUUUCUUAAAUUAAAGAUUUAUAAAAAUAUGAUCUAUUAUUAAUAAUUCAGAGAAUAAGA